rnacentral:lncRNA from 1 species
CUUCUUAGCUCUAGUCUGUAGGAACAGUGAGGUGAGAGUGAUCAAGGUUGAGUUAUUGUGAUUAUGAAAAUUGGAGAGGUUGAGAGAGCUUCAUGAAUUUUGCUGAUAUAAAAUUGAGAGGGGAAUUUUGUGAAGACUGACUCGUCUCCACUCUGUGAGUUUGGUCCUUUUCUAUGGUUGAAGUGAAAGAGUGUGAUGAAUGAAUCGAGAGCUUUUAUUUGUGAGAGAUGUGCUGGAUUUAUAGAGUGAUGAAAGGGUGGUUUUAGUAUGAAUUUGAGUUUGAGAAUUUGUUGAAGCUGAGAAUCAAAAUGAAAAUGGAGAGUGUUUGUGAGGAAUGUGAUCAAUGAUUUUGGUUCAGAAUGAAAUGAUUCGAGAGACUUUUUAUGAUCAAUGAUUGAGUUAUUCAUUGGUGGUUGUGAGCAUUGGGAUUGUGAAAAAAUCAGUUAUGGAAGUUAGGAGUUUUUUGGAAAUCGAUGUUAGUUUGUUAUUCUAUAACUGACUUUGUGGUUCCCAAUGCAAUCAGUUAGGUUAAGUUGUUAUGAAGUUUUGAGUGAGGUUAGUGUUGGUUUUUGAAUGGUUAGUUAUGAUUGAGAGAAAACUCUGUUAUCAAGUGGUUGAGGGAGAUUUUGUAGAGGUUGAAACUUAGGCAUGAGUUGUAGAUGGUUAUAGUUUUGUUUCUGUUUGUUAUGCAGGGUCCUUGGUGGCACUUGUUAUUGUGACUAUUGUUCUUGAGGUGGCUAUGCAAUGUGGAGGUUCUAAUCCUAAUUUGGUUCUGCAUGAUGCAUUUGGUAGCUAGUAUUGUAGUCACUUGGCUUGGUUAUGGUGGUUUGCAUUCAUUCUGACUUUGAGCUUGGUUUAAGCAGUAUGGAAUCAUGGUUUUUGCUUUUGCAAUUCUGACUUGGCCUAUAGUGUAUUUUGCAAUCUUGUGUUUAGUUCCAUUGCCUAAUGACCUGGUUUAUUUUGCAGCAGGUCUCUUGUAAGUCAUGUGCACAUGGUAAUGGUGGUUGAAUAGUGCAACAUGAUGACAUCAAGAUUGGAAUCUGGAGCAUCAUGUACACAUGGCAAACUCAAGGAUCAAGGAUAAAAAAUUGGCCUUAGGAUUAGAAUUAAUUUGGACUUAGGGUUUUUGGAUGAAAAGGGGUUGAGUUGACUUUGGUCAACGUUGACCAAAAAGUCAAUUGUUGACCAAAGUCAACAAUUUGUCAACAUGUUUUUUGGGGUAUUUUUUACAUGUAAUGAACAUUAUAUGAUUAUGUAAUGAAUGGAAUUUACUAUUUUGAAUGAAAUUGGGUUGGUUUUUGAAUCUUGACAUUUUGUAUGGAAUUUGAUGUUUGUAUGAUCUUGUCUGAACAUGAUACUUGAAAUGAAUGAAUUUGCUAUGAACUGAUGAAUUUGAAUCAUGAACCAUUGUAUGAACAUGCUUGAAAUGGAUUGAAAUGAACUAUGGACAUGACUUGAACAUGACUUGUAAUGAACAAUGACAAGCAUGAAAAAAAACCUUAGUAAAGACCAAGAUGUACAAUGAAUUAGGACCUAACUGUAGCGGUAAAUUCGUGACCAUCAAGUUGUGGAUAAACUUGACGUCAGUAAAACCAGAGUCGCCACCGCACUUUUAUUAUUUCCAAAGGAAAAGGGAAAAGUACGAACAAAACCCAAAGAUAAGAAUUUUUCAAAUCAAAACUAAUAAAAUGCCAGAGAUUACAUGUAAGGGGGUUGGUUACACAGAGGGAAGGUGUUAGCGCCCAAAGUGUCCUAGGUACUCCUAGGGAGCCCUUUUUGUGUGCAUAUGUUUUUGGUAUAAAUGAUGUUUGAUAAAAUAAAGAGUGUGGGGAUGACAAAAGAAUUCAUUGAUUAUAUUUUUUGUGUUUGACAAGACCUUCGGUCUUAUGCCUACGUACCAACAUAAAAAUGAGGGAUCAAAACUCCGUAGUUCGUGGUAAAAAUUUCAAAGAAAUUAGUGAAUUAAUUUUAACAAAGGUUUAAUGAAAAUGCACAAAAGGCCAAAGAUUUGAAUGGGGUUGUUAGCUCUUUUUGUCUUUUGAAAUUUAAGUCAAUAUAUUUAAGUUUACUUACAAAUUUGAUUUAGGAAAAGAAGUUUAAAAAAUUCAAUGGCAUAAGGCCAAAGUUUCUAAUCAUUAAAACAUGUCUAAGUUUGAAAUCUCAAGCAAAGAAAGUUUUUGAAAAGAGGGAGAGAUUUUGAAAUUAAAGAAGUGUGAGGAUAUGAAGAGACUACCCUAAGCAGAAAUUUAAAAGUUAAGAGUUAAAAAGAUCUGACCAAUGGGAUGCAAUCCAACAGACAAGAAUGUCAUAUAGAAACCCAUUUUCCUUUGGACUUUAAUAGGCAAUAAGCAAUAAACAAUGAUCAAUGAGCAACAUCUAAGCAUCAAGUGAAAACCAAUGCAUCAAAUAAAGAUAUCAUAUCCAAGCAAGCACUCCAAUAGCUAGCAGUCUUCAGUGUCUUCCAAUGUAUCAGAUGAAAUAUUCCUUGAUCAACUCAAAACAAAAACAUCAGACAUAGACAAUAAUAAAAUAACAAUUAAGCACAGAGACAGAGUAAAAGAUGAAUCAAAGAUAUCUAAGGUUCUGCGUCAGAUGAAGGCAUAGUCAAAGAUAACUCAGUCUCAGAUGUUGGUGUUGGCCAAGUCCUUUAGCACAUGGAAUGUUGCCUAGUUCUAAGUCCAAAAAUUCAGAUCAAGUCCCAACAGUCUAACAAAUGUUUUUUAAGGUUUUUGUUGUUACUAUGUAUUUUAAGGUCCUAAGACCACAAACAGAAUCAGAACACACAAACAAAUAUAUACAAUCACAAGAUAUGGCUCAAAUGAACAAAGUGAAAAGGAAUGAAACAUAAACAAGUUAUAUGAAAUGUAAAUGGUGGAUGAAUGGUAAAUGAAUGAAAUUUAAAUUGCAUAAAGUAAAUGACUUGAAAUUAAAAGCAUAAUAAAUAAGAGUUAGUCAAUGGUUAGUCAAAUGUUAGUGUUGAGUUUUAAUUGAUUAAGUCAUUCUUUGGAGAACACUCAACCAUUCAUUCACAAGUAUGAACCCUUAAAUCAAGACAUCUUCCAUAAGAAGGGCUCCAACUUGGAUAAUUCAACAAGUAUGUCACUAGCUCUCAUGAAAGGAAAAGAGGUCAAGUUUCCACAUAAUUCCAUGAAGAAUGGGAGACAUACAAUCUCACUUGCGAGAAUAGUAUGCUGUGAAGGUCAAAUUUAUCUCUAUGUUAAGCAAUCAUAAUUGGACUUAUGUAGAAGUCACAACUAUCUGAGGUCGGGCAAUAAAAAUAUAGGUGUUAAUUCAUGUUAGAGAUUUGAUACAAAGAACCAAACUCCUAAAACAUACCACACACUAAAAGAAAAUGGGAAGGACCUAUCUCAGUCAGACUUGUAUUGAUUCAUCUGACACAAGUUCAUUGAUGAAUAAAUUAGCAUUUAGACAUUAAAUGAGGGAUUGAGAAACAAAAGGGAUGAAGAUGAAGAGGGAAGGGGAAAUAGAAACACAAAUUGAUCAUGAGAGGAAUUUCAUUUGAUCAAACCAUCCAUUCAUUUUGAGAGAGGAAAUAUACAUUUCAUCAAUCCCCUAAAUCCAAUGGUUUUGAUCAAACAAAAGUCAUAUCAACCAUGACCAAGGUCCAAACAGAAAUUCAAACAUCACAAGACCAUAAAAAUGGCUCAACAUGAUUUUAAACAUUUAAUCAAUUAAAAAUGAAUUAAAAUGCAUUUUAAUUUUGACAAAACCUCAAAUCCCUUCAAAACACCAAAUAAAUGCUCAAGGGAUUUAUCCUAGGUCAAACAAGGUCAAAGGACCUUAGACAAAAAAUUUCAUAAUUUUUAGACAGUCAGAAGUAUUUUAAAACAAUUAAAAAUAUGCACAAAAAUAUUUAAUUCAUGAAAAAUACCAAAGUUAAUCCAAAAAAUAUUUUUAAUUCAAAAUAUGGAAGAGAAAAAUAUUUUAAGAUUUUUGGUGAAAGUCCCAUAUAUUUUGGAUAAAAAAUUGAUUUAUUAUGAAUUACACAAAACAAGGCUAUUAAAAAAUAAAAUCAGAAAUUAAAAUAAAUGAGAAAAAACAAGGGCCACCAGAUCUCCCUCAUUAAUUGAGGUGGCAGAUCUGAUGGCCAAGCGCGCACGUUCCACAAUGGUCCUUAUUCAAUGCACAGUAGGUUUGGUAAUCACAAGGAAAGACUGAGAUUAGAACAUUUCAAAUAGAUCAGAUGGCCAGGAUGCACACCAGCACAUCAUCGGAGCCCUAUCUCCGAUCAUCUUCUUCGGUGGACCUCACAGGACUGGUCCACCAUCAACCACCACCAAAAUGAAAACUAAGGACAUAACUUUAAAGGAAAAAUGCUCAAGAGCUCGAUUCUGACCUCCAUUUCAUCCAAUUCCAAGUAUAUUGAAAGAUACAUGGAUUUGAAAUUUGAGGUGCAUGAUCAGAGUUGCUUUGAUUUGACCUCAAAGCAACUCAAUAUUAUUGCCUAUAUUGGUAGGACUUCAGUCAACCAAUAAUCAAUCGAAAUAGUUGAUAAAUGAGGGAGAAUCGAAGAAGAGAAGUUUGAGAAAAAUCACCUUCGGGUAUCUUCAAUUCAGCUUGAUCUUGCUUCCAAUUUGUCUUGGCUCGACUCUAAAAGCUUGUAGGAAGUGAAAUGGAUUAAUGAAAGGCUUGCAUUCUUGGAGUUUCAAUCUCAAAAUAGAAGGAGGAUUGAAACUCGAUUUCAAGUGAUAUCUUUAAGUUUAUCUUUUAAUGGAGGUUAGGGAAGCAAUUCUUCAAUGCUUAGCCAGAAGGGAUCCUCAUUCUAAUCAUUAUGGACAUGUAUUUAUAGGGUUGUGCAUUGCUUUUCACACACUUGAAAAUUUUGCCAAAUUUAGCAACAUUGAUGCAUAGAUGCAUGGCCAUUGAUUUGGGCCUAAUCCAUGAUGUAAUCUCACUCCAAUUCGUGCAUAAUGGAUCCUGAGACAAUAACAUGUAAGCAUGCAAAAGGAAAUGGUCACUUGAAUCCAAAACUUGCCAAAACAAACCCAUCAAAGGAACCACAUGCAAGUCCCUCAAUUCUUGUCUAAAUAAGGUGAGCUUGGACUUUUUAGAAAGGUGUCAUCAAGGGAAACAACUUUUAUGUUUAACACUUUUCCAUUUGGAUCUUUGAUCAUGAUGAAAUUUGAGGCGGAAGUUGGAGAAAUUAAACAUAAUUGAGAUUUUUCUAAGUACCAAGUCAAAUGACCACUUCUUCCUCCUUGAAUAACAUUUGCUAUGAGCUCCAAAUGAAAAUGGGUUCUUAACCAAAGUUGUAGCUCUUUCAUCCCUCUUAAAUUUGGUCACAAAUUUGACAUCAUUUGGAUUUGGCAUGAGGGAGUUAUGCAUUUUAGACGUUGAUGAAAAUUGCUUGUUCAAUGAUGAUGGCCCAAAAUGACCUAUAACGUUUCCUCUUGGCACAUGCCCUUGAAAGUUUGUUUUGACAUUUCUCAAAGAAAAAAAGUUGGAGAAUACAUCUUCAAUUUGAUCAUGGAACUUGGAUGUCCUUCAUCUCAUACAAAUUGAGCAAGUUAUGGUCCUUGGAAGUUGACCUCCUAACUAGGGCACAUACAAAAUGACAUAUAAUAUUUCACCAUAAAAAAUGACUUUCCAAGAAAAAAUAGAUCUUGAUGUCAACAUGUUUGGAAUGUAAUAAAGAGUAACGUUUAUAUUGGAAUCAUUUUCAUAUGACAAAAAUUAUAGGAGAUAGGGUCUAGGGAACCCCAGUUUUGACUAGUUGACUUUCUUUGGUCAACCUCUUUGAACCAACUUGCAAACUUGAAGCUCUCUUGAUAUUUAGGAGUCAUGGAGUAUCAUAUAUGCAUAAGAUGAUGUAUAAUAAAGUAUGCCUUGGAAUAUUUGACCAAAUGUUGAAGAAACUUGCUGAGGAAGUCACACAAGAUACCCAGAUGAGUUAGGGCUUCCAAGACAAACAAGCUUCAAACUCUUGAUGAAUUCUUGAUCAAAAUGACAAAUAAAUAACAUGGGGGUCCAUAUAUUAUGUUUAGAAACAAUAUGGACCAUUGUUUAAUUGACCUCUUGCACUAACGGUCUCAAACCCUAGUUGUGAGCUUGAUGAGGCAUCGGUGGAUGCACACACUACCUACAAAAGAAACAAAGUUAUACAUAGAAAUAUUUUUGGCAUUUUGGUUAGUAAGCAAAAUAAAAUAAAGUAUGAUAUAAUCAAAUUUUAUUGGCGAUCUUUCCUAAUGCAAACCCAAUGAAUGAGGGGUAAGGAGGAUGCCAAGGUGUGAUCCCAAAGCCAAUGCAAAUGAUGAGAUAGCAUGAGGGAUCUCAGAGUCAAAAUCGGGGUCUUACACUAAUAAAAGAUUCAUGGACCAAGCACCAAUGGAAAUUUAAAUGGCAUGAAAUGGACUUAAAUAACAUUGACCAGAUGAAACCAAGCAAGGCAUGGACUAGGAACUUGAAGUGACCAAAUGAAAUAGGCCUAAGCAAGACAUGAACUUGGACUAGAUAUGAAGAAAUGAUCAAAUAAAAAGUUGUGGAAUGGAAGCAAAUGAAGGUUGUGAGGCCAUGUACUUGGGAUCAAACAAAUGGACACAAGCAUAAUAUGAAUGGAAUCAACAUCAAGGAACCAACAUGAAUGAGCCAUGAACAAGAGACUAUUGAAUGAAACUUGACCAAGCAAGAGAGGGAAACACAAAUGGGUGAAAAAGAAUCAGAUGAAGUUAGGGUUAGGAGCCCACACAAUGAGUACUAGACAUCAUUAAGAUUUAUGGGGCCAUGAUCAAGUGGAAACCCUAAAUUAGGGUUUUGCUUCACAAUAAGCCACAGUUGAGUUUCCAAUGUCAGGAACAUACACAAGAAUCAAGAGAUACCUCCAAUAAGGUUUGGUUGACUGAGAAACCCCAAGCUACUAGGAAACCCUAAUUUCCACUAGGUACAAGCACCAAGCUUUGCAUCCAAAAUACCUAUUCUCUUUGUAGCGGUAAUAUUUUUGAGAUUAAGCUAUUAAUUAACUUAACUCAUAAAGUAAGAGUCACCACCGCGCUUUUAUUAUUUCCAAAUAAAAGGGAAAAAGAACAAAUAAAACCCAAAGAAGUUUUAAAACAAAACUAAUAAAAAAGAGAUAAGGGUUCGGGGGGUUAGUUAUGCAAAGGGAAUGUAUUAGCACCCUAAACAUCCAUGGUACUCUAUGGGAACCUCUUUGAAAAUUUGUGCAUUUUGGCUUUAAAAUUAGGUUGUUUGCAAAAGAUAAGUAACAAAAGAUGUUUGUUUUGAUUCAUUUUUAAUGAAAACAUAUUUUGUCAUUUUAAGAAGAAUACUCGACUAGUCACCCACAAGUAUGAGAACUUUACAUCACCACAGAGAAGUGUUCCAACUUCGAUAAAGAUCAACAAGUAUUCCACUAGCUCUCUUAGGUGGAAAAUAAUUAUCAUCAAUACUAUGGGGAUAGGAGAAUUAUAUCUCAACUAUGGAAAUGACUCGUGUCUAAACUUUAAGAAAAAGUUUUUAAAAGAAAGAAGUGCACAAAGGGCACAAAAAUAUUUUGAAUGAGUUAUAUAUUUUUUAGUCCUUUUGAAAUUGGUCUGAAUAUGCUUAAGGUGUAUUAGAAUUUAUUAAGAAAAAGGUUUUGAAAAUUACUUGACAAGAGUCAAGGUUUAUUAAGAAAGUGGUUCAAGUUUGAAAAGAGAGAGGAGACUUUGAAAAUCAAAGAAGGAGGGGAGAAGAAGAGACUGUCCUAGAGCAUAAAGUAAAAUCUAGGGAGGAAACAUAUAACCAAAAGAUAACAAGAUUUAUGACAUAAGUCAAGCAAGAAUUCCCUCUUUUAGAUUAAGCCUCAAGCAAGCCAAAUAAGAAAAGAAUAAACCAUGCAUCAGAUGAAACCGAAGUAACCAAGCAAAGUCUUCAAAAGAAGUCCCAAGUCAAAGGCACCAGAUGAAUCCCAAGGCAUCAAAUCGCAAGCUUCCAUAGUAAGGGUCAAGGUCUUAGUUCUAAGUCCAUAACUCUACAAGAAUUCUAAGGAUAGUAACCACAAGUUCAUGAAUCAAAAGAACAUAAUUUUCAGGUUUGUUUCCCUUUAUUAAUGUCUUAAAAGGAAAAGAAGUCCAAAUGGGCAAAGAACAAAUAGCAUAAGCAAUAAACAAUAUGAGAUGAGAUGCUAAAAAUAAAAGCAUAAAGUAAAUGACAAAAGAGUAAAGAGCAUAAGAUAAAUGGCAUUAAUGUAAAAAAUAAUACAAUAAUAAGUUAAUAAGUGAUGUUAGUAAAUUGUAUUAGUGAUAAAAAAUGAAAGAUGGUUUUGUCAUUUUUUGGAGAACACUGAACUAUUCAUCCACAAGCAUGAAAGUAUGAACCUAUACAUCACCUUGAGAAGGGCUCCAACUUGGAUAAAAUCAACAAGUAUGUCAAUAGGUCUCACAGGUGGAAAGGAGACUUACAAUCUCACUUAUGAAAAUGACUUACUUUCGGGGGAAAUUUAGCGUUAUGUUAAGCAAUCGCAAUUGGACAUAUAUAGAAGUCACAACUACUUGAGAUUGGUCAAUAAAAAUAUUUGUGUUAAUACAUGCUAUAGAAAUGAUAUAUAAAUCUUUCUCCUAAAGCUAUGCAAAAAAAAAGGGAAGGAUCAAGGACAAACUUAUGCAUCAAUCAAAACUACCUUAAAUGAUCCAUGAUCAAUUAGGAGGUAGAUUUGAAAUAAUUAAAGUUCAUCAAGUACCAAUCCACACAUCAUGAACAAGAUGGACAUAAAUCAUCCAAUUGAUCAAGAGGAAAAGGAAGAUAAGGGGAUAAAGAAGAAGAGGGCAAGAGAGAUCACACUCAAAUUGGAUCAAAGGAUUGAUCAAGUCAUCAUCAAAAUCAAUCAUCAAUUUUGGUGGAUUAGGGUUUUCACUCUAUCAACACCUAAGAUCCAUUGAGUUUGAUGAGACCUAUGAUCAAAACAACCAUGAUUCAAGGCCAACAGAAGUCAACAAUGGUCAAAAAAAUAUAUAAUGCAAAGAGAUAAAAUAAAAUGCAUAAAAAAUAUUUUAAAAAUGAAUUUUAAAAGGGAAUAAAAGAGAAAAUCCAUAAAUUCCUUCAAAACACCAACUAAAUGACUAAGAAAAUUAUGGAAGGUUGGAAAUAAAAUAAGAAGCAUAUAAUAAUUUUGUCAGAAUUUUUAAAUGCAUAAAAGUAUUUUUAAACCAAUUAAAACAAGGGAGAAAAGAGACAAUUCAAGAAAAAUAUAAAAUAAAGAAAACAAAAUGUUGAAAAAUAAAAAUCAAAUGAAGAAAAAUAAAAGAGAAUUUUAGAAUUUAUUUUGGUGUUUUUUGGAUGCAAAAUGAAUUUUCUAUGAAUUUUUUAAAGAAAAUGCAAUUUAAAAUAAAAAAGAAAAGGAAAUAAAAUCAGAAAAAACACAUAGCAUUGGAUCUGACUUCAUUAAUUGAUGUUGAAGAUCCAACAAUCACAAGGAUUGGGAUUCACGGUGGAAAUUAGCCAAAAUAAAACAUGGGAUCUAAUUUAAAUUGGACCAAUCAAAACAUUUCAAAUGUCCAGGGUGUCUUCAAACUUAUAUGACCUGAGAUAAACUUCGUUCAUCUUCUCCGAUGGUCCCUCGUCGGAGUUUCAUCGUUUGGUAAAUUCAGAACAAGAGACCACCAGCAAUGUGAUCGCCUUCUCGUCACGAAUUCAACCUCAUGCUCCAAAUUCAUUUAUCUAAAUUGAGCAUGGGGAAUUUCAAAGAAGUUUCAGAAAUAAGAAAGCCACAAAAAAUAUAAUUAAAUGAUGAACACGAUCAAUCAACACCAGAUAAGUUAGGGGAAAGCAUCAGGGACUGAAGGACUACAUUCUGGUAACUUGUUUGAGUGCAAAUGAUGCUCAGAACUACCUUAUCCAAAUGGUGAUCAGAAGUUGAUGAAGCUCGAUUUGGUUAGAGCCCUUCAGGUGGUCUGGGAGCUUGGGAAUUUUUGCAAAAUCUCCAGAGAAGACCAAAGGUGUUAAUGGAAUCAAGAAAUUGGAUUGAAACAAGCUGGAAUUCAAAACACGAUAGUUGAAUUUUUCUGGAAAAUUUCAGAUUGAAGUAGGAAUUUCUUGGCUCUCAAAAGCUUAGAAAUGAAUGUAGUAACUUCCUAUAUUUAUAGGGAAUGUGUUUGGAUCUAAAUACGUGUGGAAUCAAGCUUAAUUCGUGCAAAACGAAUUUGAACAUGAAGUGAGAAAAAUGUGACUUCCAAUCCAUCAAAACUCAACCAAAUGAUGUGUUUCAAGGGUAAAUUAACUUCUGGAGACUUGGUUAAACAUGUUUUGGUCCAAAACGCGUGCUAAUUUGGCUUGGAGUUGAGAUUAGUUAAGUUCAAAUUUCAGACCAUGGUGAUUUCUUCAGUUCCAAGUCACCAUGUUCAACUCAAUGGGGCAUCUUGCUCAGGAGGCUUUUUGAUCCUAUUCUUUUUGCAAUGUGUUGAAAUAAUAACAAGGAUUAGAAUGUGUCAAGAAAGGUUGCAUUUGGAUGCUUAAACAAAAAGUUAUGGCAUGUUGAAGUUGGCACGAAAAACUGGUCAUGUAACUUAGAAAAUUCUAUGUCCCAAAUGGUUGAAAAUGACAUAUAAUGUCUCAAUGAAUUUCGUGGCCUUCCAAGCAUAAUUGGAAUUUUAUCCUUGAAGAAAACUUGUAGAGGACAUCACAAAUUAUAUUGUAAAAAAAAUGAUCAGCAUCAAAUUUUGAAAAUUGAAUAAGUUAUAAUCCUUGAAAGUUGAGAAAAAGUCACUUGGAAAUAGGUCAAAUUUUACUAAGUCCACAAAUGACCUAUAAUGUCUCCAAACUUUUGACGAUCCUCCAAGCAUAAUUGGAUAUUGUCAUGUAAAGAGAAGUUGUAAGAAGAGUAAUAUGCAAAAAUAAUAAUUCAAAAAAUUUGAGAAUUGAAGGAGUUAUGAUCCUUUGAACUUUGACUUCAGAUGUUGACUUUUUGGUCAAACCACUUGGAACAAACUUGUGCACUUGAACUUUUCAUGAAUUUCAAGGUACAUGGAUGAUCAUAUGAACUAAAAAUAAGGUAUCCUUGAAUGUCUCUUGAUUGAAUUUCUCAAAGUUUGAGGUAACUUAUUGAAGAACGCAUGAAAAUAAACACAUGAACCUUUGACUUUUCUUGAGAAGUAAGCCACAAGACUUUGAGAUGCUCUUGAUCCAAAUGAGAUUGAAAGGUUCUUGAGGACCUUGAAGAUCAUGUUUGAGAGAUAAGCCUCUUGAUAGUAAAUGGUUGAGCACACUUUACUGAGGAGUCAAAUAAACCCUAGCUGAUGAGCCAUGUUUGAUGCUCUUGAUGGAAAAGCCUUACCUUGCACAAUAAGCUUUAAAGAAAACAAAACAUAUUUUUUACAUUUUUAUUAGUGGCUAUAUAAGAAAUUAACAUAUAAACACAAAGGUAAAACACCAACAAAGAGGUGCUUGAUGAUCCCUGCAAAAGGCAAACCCAAUGAUGAGAGGGAGAGGGACCAAGAGGUGAUCUUGUUUGUAUGCAAGGAUGCAAAUGGUAUGUGGGAUCUUAGGGUUAAGAAUUAGGGAAUGACACUCUUGUAUUGAAUAAUGCUCAUGCAAAUGGAAUGAGUGACCAUGAGAACAUGAAUAUGAUUAAGGUUAGUGACCUAGAUGAACAUUGUAAAGGUAGGGUAAAUUUUAGGGUAUAACACUCGCUUCAUAAAAAAGGAAAUCAUUUGCCGUUAUAGGAUUCCCAACAAGAUCAUUAAUGACAAUGGAUUGAAUCUUAAUAACAAUAUGAUGAAAGAGUUAUGCAAAAAUUUCAAGAUCGAACAUCAUAACUCAUCACCAUACCGUCCAAAGAUGAAUGGUGUUGUUGAGGCAGCAAACAAGAACAUUAAGAAGAUUGUUCAAAAGAUGGUAAAAACAUACAAGGAGUGGCAUGAGAUGCUACAUUUUUCCUUACAUGGAUAUCAUACUUUAGUAUGCACUUAAAAUGGGGCAACUUCAUUCUCUCUCGUAUACUACAUGGAUGCAGUACUUCAUGUGGAAGUAGAGAUUUCGUCACUAAGGAUCUUAACAGAUAUGAAGCUUGAAGAAGUUGAAUGGGUUCAAACGAGGUUGAUCAACUUAACCUUAUUGAAGAAAAGCGCAUGAUAGCCCUCUGCCACGACCAAUUAUACCAGAAACGAUUGAAGAAAGCAUUUGAUAAGAAGGUUCGUCCUCAAAAUCUCCAAGCAAGCGACCUAGUGUUGAAGAAGAUCCUUCCAAUCCAUACAGAUUCAUGGGUGAAGUGGAUACCCAACUAUGAAGUACCAUAUGUUGUAAAUAAAUACUUCUCUAUAGGAGCUCUGAUUCUUACAACUAUGGAUUGUAAAGAUCUCCCACUACUAGUGAACUCAUAUGCAGUAAAAAAAUACUUCGCCUAAAAAUACUCGCUAAAUCAAAAACCCCGAGGGGCGACUUAGGCAACAAUGGGCAUCCCAACGGACCACAAAAAGAAAGUUCAAAGCAAAAAUUAAGGAUAAAAUUAAAAGAAAUAAAAGAACACGCAAAGUUGAAAACCCCAAUGGGCAACUUAGGCAAAAAAAAAGGGUAUCCUUGUGGGCUGAAAACCCGAAAGGGCAGUCCAAAAAAAAGUUAGGGAUUUAAAAGGCAAUAGGACACGGUCUGCGAAGAAUAUGUGAAUCCACUAACACCAUGGAAACCCCAAAUGGGAGAAUCGAUCCGGUCACUCUUCUCAGAAACAAAGUACCAGUAUCUUGAAGGAUAUAUGGAUUAUAGAAGAGUUGGAAAUCAAUGGAAAUCAGAGAUUUUCUCAUUAUCAUUUUUGUUUUUUUGUUUUUCUCAAUGACCUCUUUUAGGAAUUGCUUCCUUAUGUAAUCACCCAUUUACAUGUCAACUUCUUAUUAAUAAAAAUCUCUUUUAUUAAAAGUCCUUCUUGUUCUUACCUUUCUUGCUUUUUUGCAAAAUAACAAUUUAUUUUUAAUAAACAAUGCAUUGGAAAAUUUGGGGAUAGUAAAAAGCAUUGAAAGAAACACGAAAUUACUUUUAUUUUGAAAUGUCUGAAGGAUAACCAUGAUUUCCAAAUAAUGCAUUUGGUGCACAGGACAUAAAAUCACAAAGGUUUCCUUGACCUAGCAAAUCACAAGAACCUUCAUUCUCUCAGGAUGAUCGACACACAACUUGCCAACAUAGAUCAAACCUAGGACAUUAGAAAAGAUCAAGUCACCAUUGGUACCUUCAAAACCCAAUCCUAUUUGGCAUCUUAAAAAUCUAGUCACCAUUGGUAAUCGUCUUCAUUGACACCAAUCAAUAUAGGUAUACAAAAGCAUUGCUUCACUUUGAUCCUUUUUACAAAGAGCACCAGGCCUCACAUAUCAUAUUCAUAACAAAAGCCUGAUCAUACAUCGACAUCUUGCAUAUAGUAUCCAUCAUUACAUGGCAUUGCAUCACUAAAACAUGUAUUAUAUCCAUCAAAAUGGAGUAUUACACAAUACAGAUCCAAACAUGUAUACUUAACAUAAGCCAAGAUUUAAGCCUUUCUCGAAAGCAUAGACAAAUCCUUAGUCGAGAUAGUGUAUUUCUUCGAAGAGAACAUCAUCCCCAAAAAAGUCUUAUUUGGCAUCCCCAACAGGUUUCCCUCAAAACAUUCUUUCUUUAUUUGUCUUUUACAAAUAUUAUUGGCCUUUUUCCAGUAUUAUAUGCCUUUUGCAUAUGAAAUUUAUAUACCAAUCAUCUUGUCUUUCGCAAUUUAUUGUUUCCUUUUGCACAAGAUAAUUGUCUCCCAUUUUGCAUUUAUCUUUUGUUAGUCCCCUCAACCUUUUGCACAAGGGAUAUGUCAGUCCCCUUACCUUUUGUAAAGUUUCUUAUGCCUUUUGCAUUAGGAUUAUCAUCUCCGAUAUACUUGCCUUUUGCAAGUCUCUUCGUUCCUUUUGCAUGGGAAGUUUCUCUUUCUACUUACCUUUUGUAAGUCCCUCUUUCCUUUUGCAUGGGAAGACCCUUUUUUUUUAUCCUUGCCUUUUGCAAGUUCUCUCAGCCUUUUAUGCGAGGAAUUAUAUUUCUAACAUACUUUCCUUUUGCAAGUUCCCAUUGUCUUUCGCAUGGACAUAUUCAUUUAUUUACACUUACCUCUUGUACGUACCUGUCGCAUCUCGAAAAAUACGAUCUCUCGCGGUGGCCGCGGAAAAAUUGAUUCGAACAGAGUCGCCACCGAACUUUAUUUAUCCCAAUGAAGGAAUAGGAAAAUAUCGAUAAAACCUUUCAAAAAAUGGAAUAAUGGUCGUCGCAACCAUAUUCGGGUUCGGGAGUCGAUUACAUAAGGGGAAGGUAUUAGCACCCCUCACAUUCGUUGUACUCAAUGGGAACGUUUUAGUUUAAUUUGUGAUUUGACUGUUAAUUAAAUGUUGUUUGUUUUCUUCGAGUGAAUAAAGGAUUAAAAAUAGAGAUGGAUGGAAACCUCAGAAAGGGGGAAAGGGAGGUUUUUUUAUUAGUGUGCUCGUCAAGAUCUCGCAAUCUCGUGCCUACGUAUCCUUAUGGUGCAAUAAGGAAAUCAGAGCAUUCGUAGUUUGGGAAACUACGGUUGGUGGGUGCCUUUUAAUGAAUGAAUGUUUAGAUCGUAUUCUAAAGGCUAAAUAUUGGCUUGUCUACUCUCGGCGGAGGCUUAAGUACUAGUUUGUUGUGCGCGUUAGAAAGGAUUAAACAGUGUUCUUUUUUAAAAGAGUUUUGAUUGCACGGGGGCGAGGAAAGAAGUUUGAUAUGUUGGAUGUGUUUUAAUGAACAAGUGCUUAGAUCGGAUUCUAAUGGUUAAAUAUUGGCUUGCAUGCUCGCGGUGGAGACUUAAGCACUAGUUUGUAUAUGCAUUAGAAAGGAUUAACCAAUGUUAUUUCUGAAAAGAGUUUUAUUGUUGAUCACACAGUAAGAGGAAUUAAGUUUAAUGUGUUUGGUAUUUUUUAUAAGAACGACAAAAAAUUGAGCAAUAUGGUGCACACCAAUCGUUCAAUUAUUCGAGGAAUAAUAAGGCGAACGCCUCCUAUUUCCUUUUUCGUUCAGAUUAGUAUUAAAAGUUGUUUGUGGAAAUCGAAUAUGCACGGUAGUAAGGCGAACGCCUCUCACUUGCUUAUUCAAGGAAUAAUGAGGUGUGCACCACCUAUUCCUUUAUCCAAGUUUAUUUAAAGUAUUAUAAUCGGACGACGAGAGUUCAAGCAAUAUGGUGAGCGCCAAUCAUUCGAAUAUUUAAGAGAUAGUGAAGUGAAUGCCUCUAAUACUCUUUUUCAUCCAAAGUUCAUUUAAAGUGUUUUAAUCGGACGACAAGAAUUCGAGCAAUAUGACGAGCGCCAAUCAUUCGAAUACUCAAGAGAUAGUGAAGCGAACGCCUCCCAUUAUCUUUUUCAUCCAAAGUUUAAGUUAUAAAAGUAUGUUAUUAGAAGUUGUAUCUAUUUUAAAAAUGAUUUGAAUUUGCACGAUUAAUCAGAUUUAGAUAGAAAUACUUGGUGUAUAAAUGCUCUAAUCAAUUUAAUUAUAAUCGAGUAGGUCUAAUUGUAAGAAAGCCCAAGAAUAAGCUAUGUGACGUUGAUGGCGAUGCUAAAAGCAAUCGACUUACAAAGGUGUUGAAAUUGGCUCGACAUUGAAUUGAGAGUUAUGUGAUUUAUUUUAUUGAGAUUGGUUUGAAUUGAUCGCAAUGCGCUCAAAACCGGUUAGUACGAAAUGACAACAUGAUUAAUGUCAUAUGCAAGAGUCAUAAUGCGACGAAAACACCAAAUUCAUUUGAUGAUAUGACGACACAUGACUUAUAUUGAAACCAACGGAUUCAACCCAAUUAACAGAAAACUAAUUACCUAAUUAAGAACUAAUUAAAUAGAAUUUAAUAAAAUAGCUAAAUACUAAUUCAAGUAGUUAGAUUAAUAAAAAGUUAAAGGGAAUGAGAUUAGGUGUAUAAAUAGGCGGUGGGGUAAAAAUAUUAGGAAGUCUGCUUAAGCCCAAAAUUGACAAGCUCAUAUUUAACAAUAUGCCCUAACCUAAAUUCUAACAUAAUAAGAAAACAAAAUAUAUUAAGCACAAUAGAGAAACCGUGAAUCUGUUUUAUAACAUUCAAAUAACCAUAAUCCAUAGGAGUAAGACACAUGGAACGCCCCCAUUUGUGAGAAAAAUAAUAUAUAAAAAAAGGAUAGAAAAUUGUAAUGAACGAGAAUUGAAGCAAAAUACAUUUAUCACUGCAAAAUAAUAAUCCUCCUUCAUGCUUCAGUAUCUCUCUAUUGAAAACAUAAUCAUAUUCAAAUAAUACUUCUAAUUUUAAAGAAAAAACAAUAAGUUGAAAUGAAGAGAAUACAAGAAAGUUAGCGAACCGGAGGAUUGUAAACUAUUGGAUGGCAGAGGUGACAGGUGGUUUUGCUAUGAACAAGAGGCGCUAAUGAAGGCGAUGGUAGACAAGGAUGAAUGAAAGUAUGCUCCGGUGGCAGUUCAUAGUUGUUUCCGGAGUGAUUCGCGGCGGGUUUGGGUUGGUGUUUCUCGGGCGUGUUUCUUCGUCGGCGACUAGUUUGGAGGUGGUGUGCGGUUUUUUGUGAAAGAGUGUUGUAGUUGUUUCCGGAGUGAUUCGCGGCGGGUUUGGGUUGGUGUUUCUCGGGCGUGUUUCUUCGUCGGCGACUAGUUUGGAGGUGGUGUGCGGUUUUUUGUGAAAGAGUGUUGUUCAAACUUGAAGUUUGGUGGUGAUAGUUUUGUAUGGUCGUAGGAUAUUUCGCUGUGGUACAUCGAAGUUUCACGAUGAUUCAAAAAUGGAGAUUCACAGCUUGUAUCUUUACCAAACAUUGUCAGUGAACAUCAUUCAAUAAUUUGCGACAUGAAAAUAAAUGGUGAAGUUGAGUCUUUGACGGAGAUGAAGGAGAAGUGUUAUAGCUUUUCUUUUGACUUGCUUUCCUUUUCUUUUUGGAGAGGUUUUGAUAUAUGUAUGUGGCUUUGAUGAAAAAUGAAGAAGGUUUUGUUUUUUAGUGGAAUGGCUAUGAGGUUUAAGGUGGAGAAGUGGAAGUGAAAAAGUGGAAAUGGUGAGUUAUAGGAAGUUUUUUUUAAGGUGGUUUUAUGCUUAGCAGUGGGGAAGAAGUUGAUGGGAGUAUUUGACGCGGUUGUCCGGUUGUGGAAGUUUAUGUGCUCUGAUGGUUUACAUAAAGGCCAACGGCGAUGAUGUUGCUAUAAAACAUGGAGGAUUGAAGGUGACAGUUGAGUUUCAUGUUUGUGCAUUUGAAGAUGUGUGAAAGAGGCUUGUGUAGUGGUGGUUUUUGAGAGGAAGAUCAAAGAAUGUGGUGUGGACGGAGGAGAAGAAUGGAGAUGAGGAAAGUUUGUAGGUGGGUGGCUCACGGAAGCAGUUUCGACGGUGGGAGUCUUUUUGGAGGAAGGAAAUUUUUUCUUUUUCUAAGAGGUUGAAGAAUCAUUACAAAAAGGUUCCAAAAAUGAAAAAAGGAGAGACUCCUUAUGUACGUUCUCUCUUUCCUCAAUCAAAAGUGAUGUCCCCCCUUUCAAGGCUGCGUUUGCCCAUCUGCGAUAAAAGAAUAACCACUUUUUUGUCUCUCCACUUGAUAAUGGACACUUGUUGCCUCAUGAAUGGAUAUAGUAAGAUAUUUUUUUAUUCAGGAUUUAAAGAAGCCCCUCCGCGUGUCCAAAAUGGAGUGGAAAGUUGGGAGAUAUUUUCUUCACUUUCUAUUUUUCUUUGUUUAAUUAUUUAUUUAAAUUCUAUUUUUAAUUGGAUGAAUCGUAGUCACAUGGAUCACUAAUAUGGGCCCUUGGUUAACCCCAAUUUAAUGGUCGAGAUCAAAUCAAAGAAACAUAAAUUGUAACCAACUUUAAAAAUCUAAAAUGCCUCAUUCUAGAUGAUUUAACUGAAUUAAAUGGGAUUAAAUCAAUUAACUCCAAUAAAACUCACUGUUUUCUAAAUAAAUAUGAUAAAAAUAAAAUGAAGACAUGGAAGUUCCUAUUUAAAUAUUCUGAUUAUUUUGACAAAAGAACAAAAUUAAAACGACUAAAAAUGAAUAAAAGUCGGGCGAAAAUUUGCUCGAAAAAUUAAAUCGGAUGCACUAAAAUGAUCAACACGAAAUAAACUUAUUGAAAAAAUACAGCAUUUCUUUUAAUUUCGAAAUAAAUUUUGAUCGGUUAAAAGGCUUAGGCGGAUCAAAAUGCAACUGAAAAAGUCGUCGAAAAAUAUAACGAGCACACCAGGUUAAACUACGCGAAUCGUAGAUUAAUAAUACUGACGUCUGCAAGCUUGAUUUCAAAACUUUUUACCCGCUGAUUUUGCAUGUACUUGAGGAAUGAUUUAACCAAUUAGUCUGUAUAUUCGAGAAUUUAUUUCGACUGAUAUUUUAGGUACUAUUCAUGAUGAAAUGCAUGUCAUGCUCGGACAAAAUUGGGGUAUGACAGUACCCCUUGCCUUUUUCAUGGUAAGAUUCUUUGGUUUACUUCUUCUUGCUUACCUUUUCUAAGUAUCCUCUGCCUUUUGCAUAGGAAAAUAUAUUUCUACCUUCACUUACCUUUUUAAAGUAUUCUUCGUCUUUUACAUUAGAAGAAUGUAUCUCUCCUUUGCCUUUUACAGAGGAGAAAUUACUUCAUCCUAUACUUUCCUUUUGUAAGCCCUUUCCUCCCUUUACACGAGAAAAGUCCUUCAUUGCCUUUUGCGUGAGGGAAUGCAUUUACUAUUCACUUGCCUUUCGCAAGUCUUACUAGCCUUUUGCUAAGGAGUUCUUAUCAUCUUUUGUAUGAGGAAACAUCUUCCUUCUUGGCCUUUUGCUAAGAAGUUCUCAUUUCAUUUUGCAUGAGAUAUCAUAUCCACCUUUAUUUGUCUUCUUGGCCUUUUGCCAAGCAGUUCUAAUUGCCUUUUUCCUGAGAGAGACUAAUUCAUUUUCACCCUUCUUCUUAGCCUUUUGUUAAGGAAUUAUCAUUGCCAUUUACAUUAGAAAUCACACUCACUUUCAACAUUCUUCUUAGCCUUCCACUAAGGAGUUCUCAUUUGCUUUUGCAUGAGAAAUCACAUUCACUUUCAUCCUUCUUCUUAGCCUUUUGCUAAUGAGUUCUCAUUGUCUUUUACAUGAGAAAUCACAUUCACCUUCAGAUAUCUUCUUGGACUUUUGCAUGAGGAAAUGUCAUACUCUUUUACUUCCCGUUUGCAAGUCUCCUCUACCUUUUGUAACAUAAAAUCUUGUCAUUCCCCAUAAAAGUCUCACUUGCCUUUUGCAAGACGUCUCUUCCUUUGGCAUGAGAAAACCACGAACUUUGGGAAUUACCCCUAUAUCCACUAUUACUUGCCUUUUGUAAGUACACAAUCAAUCCUCUUACCUUUGUUGAAUCCUGUGGGAAUAUCACAACUACCAAUACCUGCCAAAACUUGUUAAGUGCAGGCAAAAUAGAAAAAAACCCUAAACACUUAUACCUAUCUCUUCUCUUCGGGGUGCAAAUCUUUGGCAUAUUUUUAUUUAAUCCUCUUCUACCUUGAAUGCCUGAAAGCCAUUGUUAUUCAUACCUUCAAGUUUAAAAAGAUUAAAUAGGGGCAACUGUCAUACCCUAAAUUUGGCCUACCCUUAUUCAAUUCAUCUGGCUUAUAGCCUCCUGGUUUCAUCUACAUAUAUUUACCCCCAAUCACUCAUUUUUAGGAAAGAGAAUUCAUCCAUAUGCAUACAACCAUUCAUUUCCAUAAGAUAACAUUAUUAGUUCAAAAGGUUCAUGAUUUCAACUGGAUUAUCUUAACAUUUGGGAUAUUAAUGAUUUGAUUAGAUGGCUCUGAUUGUUGCUUAUGGAAUAAGAUGUUAUGAACUCCAAGUGGAUGCUACUACUAGGGUUUUGUUGUGCUUACUUAGGGAUUAAGUCAUUUUGGGAUUAUUAGUUGGUCAAAAUCAACUAUGGAAGGUUGACUUUUGUUGACCUAUUUAUUGGGACUCUCUUAUUCAAGUUGGAGUAUGACUACGUUUUUGGAAAAGGAAGAAAUUGAAGACAUUCACAUAAAAGUUGACUUUUGGUCAACAAGUCAAUCAUGGAAGGUUAACUUUUGUUCACCAAGUCAUUUUGAUUUGUUAAUUUACAGUUGACCAUUACUACUUUCCUUUGAAUACAUUAUGAUUUUAAUUGGACAAUGAUCCUUACGUGAUUAAAGCAUUGAAAAGGUGUGUUAAAUUCAAAUAAAAAAAUGGAGGGAAAAAUAUUUUAUUACUUUAAAAGAAAGUUACAAAGUCAACUACCAUGUACAAAAGUCAAUAUCCAUUUCAAAUUCAAGAACACAUUGCAAAAAUGGAGAGUACAUUCAAAAGUACGCAUUUUAGUUAUAGUUGACUUUUUAUCAAAUAAUGGACCAACAUUGACUUUCUACCCUAGACCUAUUUCUCUUAUAAAUCUCCAAGUAUUCUCCAUCUUCAUUUCAUCAUAACUGCAUUGUCUUUAAAGAUUGCAUCCCAUGUUCAAAAGUCUCAAAACUUCAUGUCCAACCAUGCCAAAACUUCAUGCCAGACCAGCCCAAAACCUGUUGCAUACCUGCAACCAAUAUCCAACCUGCAUUCAUCACAUGCACACUUCAAUACAACAACAUACAUAAUAGAUCCAUAUCAUAACAAACCAUAUCACACACACAAUGUAAUGCUUAUGACAGGUCACAUUUCAAAACACACUAAACCACAUCACAACUCCGAUCAAGAAAACCAAGAGCAACACAAGUAAAAAAACAAAUUAUGUAUUCAUUCACAAUAUCCACUUAAAUUAAAACUAUUAAGUCAUACUCAUAUUCCAUACCAAUUGACAUUCAAACUUAGGACAGGUUUCAUAAUUUGAUGCAAGUUUUAAGCAAAGCAUACAUGUCAUGCACAUCAGGAUUCACAGUUUAAUGCAGUACAUCAAUGGAAUUUAAAAGAAGGCAAGUGCAACCACUUUAGUUCAUGCUAAGUCCUCCUAAUUCUAGAAUUCAAAAAGACAAUACAGAUCAAUGUUUGCAUCUAGCACAAUCCAUUAUUAUAAAAUUAUCACACAUAGAUGGUAGCCAAGGCAUAAAAGCCAUACAUACAUACAUUGUCAUAAUUCUAAUUAACAUAAUCAAUUUCCAACCUAACAAACUGACCUGACUUGGAAUUAACUACUUUAAGUCAUUCCCAACAAACUAAAAAACCCUAAACUAACUAUCAAAUGAAACUUCCCUCAACUGUUAAAUUUCAGUUAUUUAACCAACUUCCCUAACCAAACUAACUGCCCAAGGUAGUUAUAACCUCAUUGCAUUUUCCCACCAAAAUUAGUUUCAAACCCUAACAACCUAUUAACUACCAAACUAACACACUCCUUAUUCAAAUUUUACACUAAAACCAAUUGGAAAGAAACAUAAAUUCCUCUUUUACCCAAUUGUUACUCUGUCAAACUCUCACCCCAAACCUCACAAAAACUCACUCAAAGCUUCCUUAACCAACCUCUUCAGAGCUAUCAAUAAAGCUAUGAAUGAGGUGAAGCAUAACCCUCAUCCACAACCAUAGUAGUUCCAUCAUCAUCAAGACCUCAACAAAACUCUACAUCAGUUCAUCAUCAAUCCUAAUUCCUAUCUCUAUUGCCUAUUCUAUUCUACUCAUCAUCAUCACAACAUCAACAACAACAAUCUCAUUAACAAUAGUUCCAAGAAUUUUUUUUAUAAAAAAAAGGUAGAAGAAGAAGCAAGGAUAAAGACUCAUACAUUAUAGUUGAAGCCUCCUCUCUGGGUUUCUUAUCCAUUAUCUUCAAGCUAUUCUACAACUCUGACCAACGCACUUCUCAACCUUGUAGGUAAACAUGAGGACCCCUUUUUUUCAUCCUUUUUUCUCCAUUCUUAAUAUUGCAUGGUAGAGCUUGCUUGUCUAAAAAGAACCCCCUUUGUUGCAGCUUGAGUUCAGGAGUGUGGGCUAUUUAAUUUAAGUUCUAAAGAUUUUUAGGGUUUAAGUUAAGCUGAGAUUUUAGGGAUUAGGUUUAGUUUUUGGUUUGAUUGAGGUUUGGACGAGGAUAAAUGACAAAGUUAUCUUCAUAUUGGUGGUGGUUUGGAUGCAUUCUAGGCUGCUCUGCCACCAGAGACGAUUUUUGACGCGACGACAAUGAUUUUAGGUGAUCAGAGAGUGGGAGGAGAGGAAGAUUAGGGACAAAGUGAUAAAUGAGGGAGUUUCUCUCCCUUUCCCCUUUCUGACUUCUCCUAUUGGGUUAGGCCCAAUGGUGUUCUACCCCACACACACCACCUAAUAUGCUUUUACACCCUUAUCUGAAUAAUAAAAACAAUAACAAAAAUACAUUAGGCCCAACGCCCCAUAGUUCCUUCACACCCAUUUUUCAACUCUGCACCUCCUUGGCAACUUUAUUUUAUUUAUUUAUUUAAUUCUUAGGAAAUUCUUUGUUAAAUUGUUAAUUUUUUUAAUACAUCAAAACAACUUCUAAUGGUAAUUAGGUUUAGUCUUAACUAAUUUUAGGAUUAAACUUCUUAAUUAGGAUUAUAUUAGAAUAAGGUUAAUUAAUGUUUUGAUUAAUUUGAUUGUUGGUGUAAGCCCUAGAGGCCAAUACUUUCGGUACUUGUAUCGAAUUAUUUAUUAAUAAUAAAAGGUUUUUUCUUUAUUAUGUUUGUUUAACAAAGUCCCUAGAAUAGCUAGUCCGUUUAAUGUAUCAAGCGUGACUUAAUCAUGAGAUCCCAUUAAACAUAAGGACAUUAUUCUUAAAGUAUCCGUAGUCGAGCUUUGUUGUAAAGUGGGAUAGUAUUAAAGCAUUAAGACUAUUAUGUAUAUAGACUGAUGAUAAGAUCUCAUGGAUCAUGGAUAAGGAGUUAUCAAGUCUUAAACAUAGGUAUGAAUAUUAAGAGUAAUAUUUAUACUGGAGUGACCCUCUAUGAGAAUACUAUAUAGAAUGUUAUGCAAAGUGUCAUAAGUUAUUCUCAUGGUGAUAGUGGUGUAUACCACCCUUCGACCUGAAACCACUAUGGACCCUAGAUAUAGAGUCGAGUGUCUUAUUGUUGAUCAAACAUUAUCUGUAACUGGAUGACCAUAAAGACAGUUGAUGGGUACUCCACGAAGCAUGCUGAGGGAUAUGAGUGACCUAGAUGGAAUUUGCCCAUCUUGCGUAACAUGAUAAACGUCUAAGGGCCCAAUAUUGAACUAGACAAGGAUGACACGGUAUAUUCCUUGUGUUCAAUAUAGACAUAAGGGCAAAAGUAUAAUUGUACACAUAAGUAUUAUCACAAAAGGAUUUGUCAGAUUACAUGACAUUUUCGUGUCUUGGGUAGCAGUGAUGUGUUGCUAGAUACUGCUCACUUUUUAUCAUGUUAAAUACGUGAUUUAAUAUAAUUACCAAUGUCACGAGAACCAACAGGGCCACACACAAAGGACGAAUUGAUGAGAUAUAGAGUAAAUAAGGAACGCCGUAAGGUACGGUGCACUUAAGUGAAUUAUAGAACAUCGUAAGGUACGGUGCACUUAAGUAGAAUACGAAAUAUGGUAAGGUACCACGUGCUUAAGUGAUUUUGGUAUAUCAUAAGAUAUGGGCCACAUACACUUAAGUGGGCUUUUUAGCUUACAACCCACACAAGUGUUUCUAUAAAUAGAACCCUUGUGCAAAAGCAUUUAUUCAUAUGAAAUUUCGUUUCUCUCUUUCUCUCACUCAAAGCCUUCAUUCGUAGCAGCUAGCACUGAGAUUGAAGGAAUCCGUUCGUGUGGACUGAGUAGAGGCGUGGUCACCAUUCAACGUUCGUGAUAACUCCUUAGAUCUACAUCAAAGGUUUCAAUCGUCAUAAAAGGUAACGAUUCUAUCAUUGAUCAUGCCCAUUUGUAAGGAUCACUAAAGGAGAAAUUUUAAAUUCCGCUGCAUUUUGGAUCGCUAUUCUCCUUCAUUGAUGACUUAAGGAUAUUAGUAAUGUUAAUUAAUCUUUUGAUUAGUUAAUGGUAGGAUAAAAACCCUAGGGUGAAUACUUUGGAACAAUUACAUGACAACAUUAGGUAUUUUCCCAUUUUAAUCAUGUCAAACUAAAGGUUUUUUUUAAAUAAAUAAAAAAUACUUAGAGAACACGAUGUGAAUUAUGCACCAUGAUCCUUAAGAAAUGGAGAAAAAUGAGAGGGUGUAUUCCUAUCCUUAUUCUGAAUAUCAUUGGAUAUAGGAUGCAUGACCCAAUUGUUCAAAGUGUUCACCUCCAUUCAUAGACUUUAGUGAAAUUCAAAUCAAUACAAUUUUCAUAAUUAAAGGAAGAAAAAGGAGGAGGAUGUAGACUCUCUCUCCCCAAAUGUUCAGUCACUACUAUAGAGCUCCCUAUCUAAAUAUUCGUCUUCAAACUAAAAUCAAUCAUAACCAAUCCAAUUCAAUUUUCUUCCUUAGGUUAUUUAAAAGCUUGUUAAUAAAGGAUAUGUUAUUUUUGUUCUACCGUAAUACAAACAACACUUAAACCUAUAAGAACACGAACAUUAACAUCGUUCAAUAAAAUAACCAACAAACACUUACUUUCUACCGCAUGAACUACGGAGCUCUGAUUUUCUCAUUGCACUAUGGGAAUAUGCAGGCACAUGAUUUUGAAAUCUUGUGAGCACAUUAAUUAAAAACUUCAUUUUCCCUUAAUUAAAACCAAUCACAAGUAACCUUUUGAUAAUAACACCCAUAUGCGCAAAACAAUCAAAACAAUUCUCAUUGAGUACAACGGAUGUGAGGGAUGCUAAUACCUUCCUCGUUGUAUAAUCGACUCCCACCCGAAUUUCGUUGCAUCGACCAUCUUCUUUUCUUGUAAGGGUUUUAUCGAUAUUUUUUCUUUCCUUUGGAAUAAAUAAAGUUCGGUGGCGACUCUGUAUUUUUUGCAGCGUGACAAACCCAUAAAGAUUGAUUAUUUGAUUUUUCUGGAUUUACAGGGUAAGUGGGGGGGAUUAUUCAUAUAAGGGUUACUUAACCAUGAAAGGGUAGAGAGGUUUCGCUUAACCUGUAAUAUGGUUCUCUUUUCCAUAUUGUUUGAUGUUAAUAUGAUAGAUGAUGAUUGUGAUUAUAUUUUUAUCCCCUGAAUUGAUGGAAAAUUCAUGUUUGGUGUUAUGGUACUUUAUGUUCAUGAGUUAAAUGAUUAAAUGAUGAAUUUGUGUUGAAAUUAGGUGUUUUAGGGUGUGAACAUAAUUUGAGUUGAUUCAUGAUAAAAGUGAUGGAUUAAGUGUUUAAUUAUACUAGGAUGUGUAUUCGAUGUGGUGUUGUUAUUUGGUGAGGGAAUAAGGAAGAUGAAAUUACUUGUGAAAACUGGGAUUUUCAAAUUUUGGGUUGAUUUCAAUCGAUUGACAUCUUGUGUCAAUCUAUUGCAUGCAUGUCGUUUUGGAAAAAUCUGAAAAAUUGAACUAUGUCAAUCGAUUGAUUCCUUAAAUCAAUCAAUUGCUCUCAGCCAAAACAUGAAAAGUUGGAAAGGAAGAAUGUAAUAGGUAUUGAUGUCAAUGAUUGCAUCCAUAUGUCAAUCUAUUGACACUAGUUGAUUUUUGAAAAAUUACUGAACGAAAUCAUAUUUUUACCCGAUUAUUUUUGCCAUAACUUUAGUUCCGUAAGUCUAAAUAAGGUGCGGUUUAAAGCGUUGGAAAGCUAACGCACAAAGCUACCUCAUGGUAGUUUCUUGUGAGAUAAAUUUAUAUGUUUGAGUGAUGUUUGAGUAUAUGUUCGAUGUGUAAAUAUGCGUUGUGAAAUGAUAGUAUAAUUAAGUGAAUUAUUGUGCAUGCUGGAUAAUUAAUUGAUGAGAUGAGUAGUUCAGAGUGAGAACUAGUGGUGAUCCAUUGAAUACAUGAUUGUUUGCAGUCAUAAGUGGGGGUGAUUCAUUGUUAUUUUGUUGUUGUUACAUGAUUGUUUACAGUCAGAUGUGGGGAUGUAUUUAUUUGUUAUAUUUUUGUCAUUGCUUUGUUAUAUGCCAUGCAUCAUAUGAUGUUGUGUUGUAAAAGAGGUGAGUCAAAAUUUUAGAAAGGGGACUAGUGACUUGUCCCUAGCUCAGAAUGGAGGCUUGGAGCUGAGAAUUGGGGCUCGGGGUUCAGAGAGGGGAUCAGGUUCUUAUGAAGAACCAUUUAUUGAGUCAGUACCAUAUGCAUGAGUUGAGUCGAUGUUGCAUUGUAUUACAUAACAGUUGUACAUAUGUGAUGUUUUAGAGUUAUUGAAUGCUCUUGUGUGUAAUUGUGCGAUCUUAUAUGUGAUGAAUAACAUUGUCAUUGGUGAUUGAUCAUGGUGUGAAUGAAAUAUGAAUGCGUGAUAUGGUGGUGCAUGUUCGAAAUGUGUAUGACUUAUGAUGCAUGAAUCUACCCUGAUUGUUUUUGUGCACUAAUUAUCAUUUGAAUGUAUUCUCACUCACUUUUUAUGUUGUUGUGCCUAUGCUCCUCUAGAGUACAGACAAUCAGGUACUUGAGUAGGAGUUUGAUGUAGAUGAUGGUGUUGUGCCUCUUUAGUUUCCUGUCGAUCUAGUUUAUAGUUGGAGUCGCUUUUAUAUGUAACACGAGGGGAACAUGUUGUUCUUUUAUUUUUUUCUUAUGUUGCAUAUAGUUCCUAUGUUUGGAUAUUGAACCACUUUUGAAACUUAUUGUUGUUGAUGCUUUUCCUGCUGACUAUUUUAUAAUUUUCGCUUCUUAUCAAAUGACUCAAUUUUCAAUUAUGUGGUUCAUGUAUGUGUUGUUGAUGUAUGAGUAGAAUUCUAAUUGAAGGAAUUUAUAUGAUGAUAUAUAUGCUUUAAUUGAUUAUUUUUCGAGUCGGGAAGUAGGGUGUUACAUAGUGGUAUCAGAGCAGGUCAGUCCAUCCGAUGAGGUUUUAUAAUGUUGAUUGUUCCCUAGUAUGCGACAUGUGUGUGGACAUUAUCGAUGUGUUGUUUCUUCUUAUGUCUUUUUGCUGGUGUGCAUAGUAAUGGUUGGAAGAAACGAUCGGGCGAUUGCUGAUGCUUUAGAAGCGAUGGCUCAGGCACUGUAGGGUCAGCAGAAUCAGGUUGUUGAUGAAUUAUGUUGAUUGGGGAAGUUUCAAAGAAACAACUCGCUGACCUUCACGUGCAUAUAUGAUCCAGAGGGUGCACAUGUAUGACUUAGAGAGAUUGAGAAGAUCUUUCGAGUGAUGGUUGUCGCAUCCGCGAAAAACAACCGGCGGGAAAACAAACAAAUAGAGCCGCCACCGUGCGUUAUUUAUCCCAAAGGAGGGAAAGGAAACGCUCGAAGUAAACCUGGAAAGGAAAUGGUCUUACGACCGGAGAUUGCAAGGAUCGGGAGUCGGUUACGAGUUACGCAAGGGGAAGGUAUUAGCACCCCUCACGUCCGUCGUACUCGACGGGAUCCACGCUCAAAAGAAUAGAAUAAGGUUGCUGAUAAAAAACUGCUCAAAGAAUGCACACACACUGGAAUAAGCAUACAGGCGAAGGAAGACAGAGGAAGGUGACUCGGCAGGAUGUCACAUCCUGGGCCUACGUAGUUUGUCAGAAACAAACAUCAGAGUCGACGUAGUUCGGGGAAAUGGGGAACGUGCUCGCUAGGAUAUCGCAUCCUAUGCCUACGUAUCUUUCCCUAUCCAGAGAAAGAAUCAAAACACUCGUAGUUCGGCUAACGCACGCCGAAAUAAACACAUGCACAGACGCUGAGACGUCAAAGCAAACACGCAAAUGGAAACAGACUGCCAAUGGCUGGUCUUUCGUCCGACUCCAAACAACAAACACAAACAAGGAAACCGAAUGCCAAUCGCUGGACUUACAUCAGACUCCGAACACACAAACAAACACAGGAAACCGACUGCCAAUCGCUGGACUUACAUCAGACUCCACACAAACAACCAACAAACGGGAAACCGAAUGCCAAUCGCUGGACUUACAUCAGACUCCAAGCACACAAACAAACACAGGAAACCGACUGCCAAUCGUUGGACUUACGUUAGACUCCACACAAACAAGAGGGUUAAAAAAAGAAAAAGGGCGAACACACAGGCUAGAAGGGAGUCGGUAACUCGGACCUAAUAGCUGUCAAGCAAAACACACGCAAAAAAAGGAAAAGGGUGCCCGGAGAGAUCUCGCACGAUCUCCUGCCUACGUACCUCAUCUGGUAUGAGGAUCAGGGCAACGUAGUUCCCCUUAAUAGGGAAAAAACUUCUAUCCUAACCAGAGACUAGGGAGAUAACAAGCGACUAGGGAGACUACGACUCGAGCCUAGAAGUUGUCAUGCAUACGGUCCCUAAGUUGAGGUCUCUAGUCCUAACUCGCACAGGAAGCAAGCUAGCCUAAACAGCACAUAAGCAAACACAAGCACAAGAGAGCAAGCACACACACUAUAUGCAAACAAAUGGCUCAUACAAGGCUGGGCUUUAGUCAAGGGGUCAUGUCAACCUCGACAAAUAAGCCGGUUCUGUUAUGGGUGUUUUGAGCUCUUAACCCUAACAUUGAGAGUUAGGGUGAAGCAGAUGAAAUGGGAAUGAGGGUAAGACCUCAUAGCUCUUAUCCCUGGCCUGGGAGAGCUUCAAUCAAUGGAAAGUGUGGGAGCCCAAAUAAGGAACUCUACUCCACAAAUGACUUGACUCUAUACAAUGACUUUGGUGUUUUAUCAACUGCAUCAACACACACAGUGGGCAAGAUGGAAAGACUCCUUGAAUAGCAGGGAUGGAUUGCACAUCCUUCUAUUGCCAUGCCUCUCAUUAGGAGUUUUUACAUGUACAAAGCAACAAAGAUAAACACCACAACAUUAGCCUUAGGAGGGCUUCAGACAGUGCUGCCAGAUAAACAUGACAGGUUUCAAAUACAUGGAGUAUAAGAGUUACCUGGUGAGUAUGCCACACCACAGCAAGCAAGCACUCUAAUAGGUAAAGCGGCUAAAAGUACUGUGAAGAAAGCUAAUCAAUAUUUACAUUCAGACAAUCAACAUCAACAACAGUCGACAACCAAUCAUAGAAACAAUGGUGCAAGGCAGUACGAUGCAAGGCAAACCAAAUUUGAUUCAUCCAAAAGACCUUACAAAGCAGCAAAGGUUUAGUCAACCAAACAACUUGUAUCUCAGAGUGAUGAGAUCCAUAUAACCAAUGUGGCUAUUGCUUGAAACCUGAAAUGCAAAGCUCAAAUUGUGAGUCCACCCACUACUCAAAGGCUAGGGUCAAAGGUAAAUCAAAAAAGUCAAAACAGCAAUCAAUAUAAACACAAGGCAUGUUUAUUCAAUCAAGAGCAUGUCUAAAAGAAACCAAUUCAAAUCAUUAAGCAAAUUCAUCAUCCAACCAAGAGAAGGCAAUGCACACACAUGAUCAUCAAUUGGACAUACAAGAUGAGAAAAGGCAUAUUAAAUCAGAAAUGGCUCAAACAAUUCUGUAAUUUUUUAUGAGCAUACAACAUAUCAACCCAAAUCAUCAUGCCAAAAAUUAAACAGAAGGAGCUCAAUUGAUAAGGCAAUGAAAAUGAAUAAGAUCAACAUCAAAUUGUGUGACACACAUUGUCAUACCAUAUUAGCAUGUGCAUAAAACAGAGAUGACAAAGGCUAAAAAUGCACAACCAAGCCUAAAACAUCACACAACAUGUUGAGAAUCAGCACACAAAAUUUCAUGUCAAUUGGAUAAGUAUUGAGCAUUUCACAUCAAUUUGAAUGAGGCAUGGUCCAUUUGUAUACAUGUUCAAACAAUUCAACACAUUUUAAUUUCCAGAAAUGAUAAAAUCUUAAAAUCAACACCAUAAAAUUCUAGACAUUCACAUGAACAAGUAGAAAAAAGUUGGGAAUUAAUUGGAUUAUUAUUCUAUUUUUAAGGAUUUUUUGAAAUUGGCAUGAAAUGAUGAAAUAAGAAUUGAAGCGUGUGCGCGCGCCUGAACCAGACAAACCCUAGCAUGGUACGCGUAUGGUACGCGUACAGUCCCAACCAUAGCAUGUGGUACGCGUACGGUACGCGUACGGUACGUGGUGGUUUCCACCAUCUUCUUCGCGAAGACGGCGGAGAAACAGUGAACAGCUGUAGCACCUCAAAUUUGCACUCCCCAUUUGUACAUUCAUUUCAUUUUUAGGUCAUUGACAUCACACUAACAUCACAUUAACAUUACCUUGUCAUUGCAUAUCAUGUUGCAUCUUAUCAGUCAAGACUGGUAUCAAGAGGAUUCAUCUGUGCAAGAGACCAAGCAUUUCCAUGAGAUGAAGGCCCUAUGGUUGUUCUAGAGAGCUUAUGUGAAUCAAGGAUCAUUCUGAAGCAACUUGACCAAAGGUUAGAGGCUCAAAAGUCAUCAGUACAUGUCCAAGUCAUAUGAGGCCCAUAAAAGUCAACUGAAAGUCAACUGAGGGGUAGGAGGUGGAGAAAUGGUUUGAGACACUUUAUUCAUGUCCCAAAGAGGUUCAUUCAUCAUGACAAGUGUCCACAUUGAAGAUUUUGAAGCCAGAUCAAAAGUUUCCAAAAAUGGAAAGUGACCUGUAAUUUGAAUGUUUCCAAAAAUGGCAAGUUUUUGGACCAACUUCAACUCAACUUUCCAACAUCAAAAAAGCUUCAAAUGAAUUUUUGUCCAACAUUAAAGUUGAAUAUCUCUCUCUCCCAUUUCCAAAAAGUCGAAGAUCAUGAAUUUAUGAUGAAUGGUUAAGGAGUUAUGAUCAA